GACCAGGAGCUGUGGGAUGUCACAGACACCAGGAUUUACACUGCAAAUGCUUUUUUUUUUCUCUUUUGUGGUAUAAGAUUUGAACCCGGGGCUGUUGCACUGAGCUACAUCUGAGCUGGCUCAGAUUUUGACAGAAAUUCACUAAUUCACUAAGUGUCCCAGGCUGGGCACACACUGGUGUUUUCCCUGCUUGAGCUUGCCAGAGUUCUUGGAUUGCAGAUGUGUGCACGGCAAGAGAGGUUGCUGUGCUCUUGGUAUCACAUCUGCGUGGUUUUCCUGUCUUCCUCCAUGAUGCUCAUUCAGGUCCAAAGUAUCUCUAUGAAUGCUUACAUGUUUGGAUAUUUGGAUUGACAUAUUUAGGUCUAAAGGUCGAGUUUAAUUCAUGCUUCAUGGGACUCAUCUUUUUACGCUCCUUUUCACUCACUUUCUAACUUUUUAUUGUUGAUUCUCUUUAAACCCGUCACUAUUUACUAUUUUACUUCUGAGACUAACCAUCGUGACACUGUGGCGACAUUGGCAUUGUUCACGAUAAGAUUCCAUGUUUUCUGUGUAUCAAAGGGAAACCAACGUGCUCCACCAUAGCUGUGGGAAACAUGCUCAGCCCCAGCACCAUCAGAAACCAACAAAGCAUCGGCCUCACUUCCAACUCAAGGAGAUGAGCUGCUAUGGCUUUGAGUUUUGGGCAACUUUUGUCUCUCAUUGUGGCAAAAGUUUGUCUCUUUGCUCUGUUGUUGUUACCUUUGCUGUGCAGAAGAUUUUUAAUUUGAUAUAAUCCCAUUUGCUGAUUCUUCACUUUUUCUGUAGGAAAGAGCGGGAACAUGUAACUGCUUCCUCCUGGACUCAGAUGACAGACAGAAAGCAAUGCUCUGUCAGAAAAAUGCCACCUGCCUCUAAGAAGAAAAUGCAGAUGUGGACCUACAGCAGAAGGUGAAGGUCCGGUUUAAUUUACACCAGGGUGAAGGCAGCUGGCACUGACCUGGACUUAGAAGCCCU
rnacentral:lncRNA from 1 species